CUUGGAGAGUGAUCAGAGACCACGAUGGUACAUUGGAAUCAUCUGAGGAACUUAAAAAAAUACUGACACUUGGAUCCAGAGAUCCUGAUUUAGUUGGUGUGGGAUGGGGCCAGGGCUUCUAAUUUUAACGUGCAGCUGAGAUUAGAGACAUCGUAAAUGCUUUCAAGUGUUGAGAGUAACUGAUCAGGGAUCUUCUAUUGACAAGCUCUCUUCUCCCCAUCCCCACCCUAUUCACUUUGCUAAUAGAAAAAGGACUUUAAUUCAGAAAUGAAGAGAGACAUCAGCUGGGCUUUCAAAGGCAGGGAGGAAAUCCUCGUGGCUUAUAAAAGCCACUCUAAAGACUCUUGCAGACAUCUUGUGAACAGUUUGUAGGUCUGGGCAGAGGCGUGCCUGUAGCCAAGAGGGGUGGAGCCGGGAUAGUAACGAGUUGUCUGUCGUUGGACAAGUUGUAAGAGUCUCCAGAAGUUAAAGGAGUCUUAGGAAAUAUGGGUCUUGAUAGAUAAGAGGCAUGUAAUAGGAAAUAGGGGAGACUGUGGCAAACUGGAGACUGGGCACCCCCGAAGAAGGGCAGCUCAUGCUGUCAUGCAAAAAUAGGAGCCAGGUGGUGGAAGAUGUCCUAAUUUUUCAAGAUGAGAAAAAAAUGAGUCAGAGAGGUGAAGUGACUUUAUCAAGAUUGCACAGCUAGUUCCUGCAGAAGCCAAGUCAACAGAAGCUGGAAAACUGUCCUGCUGUUUUAUCCUGCCCCCUUGAUGAUGAUCUUUAACUCCAACUGGAUUAUGAGUCACGAGGCCGGGGAUCAUACACAUAAUACACAUCUCAUACACAUGAGUAGAGUGCCUUGUCCAUGGUAGAAGAAUUUAUCAAGUUACUGUUUUCAGCCUGAAUGUGUGGAUGGAUGUGUUAAGUAUCUGCUUCUGUAAGGAUGGUUUUCUACUCUCCUCGUGUCCACAACAGCCCCAAACCCUGGAAACGAGGCAUUUAUGGCAAUUUCUUCUGGCAUUUAGAAUUAAGAAAGAGAAAUCUGAGGCCAAUCUAAAUCUUUUCCUUUGUGGGUAAUCUAGGUUUUCUACCUGGACUUGGAAGAUACUGACUUUUUGCUGGAAAUGAAAUGAUUAUUAUCAUAAUUCACCAGAGCACCCUGCAAUAAACCGUCUCAAUGUCCACAUCUGGCCCUGUUGGGGUUUGAUUGCACGGGAAAGCAGAGGAAUGUUAGGAAAAUAAUAGGACUUUAAAUGGAGCCUUCAAAGCUUGCUGAUGACAUCAGAGGAGGCACUGUGUGAUGAGAGAGGUCUCAAAAAUACUAUAAAGCACACCACAGGGAUCUGAAGAGCUCUUCCGAGCCCUGCAUGGAGCCCAGCCUAAAGCAAGAGGAGAAAACCCCAAGGUGCAGACUGAGAAAGAUCCUGGAGCCACACAGCCUGAUCCUGAGAUACUGCUUGGAUUACUCACUGAGCCCAAGGCUGAGGGCAGGAGAUGUUUUACACCACAUAUACUUCUCCCAGGGCUAUGUGGUUAUCUACAUGACCUGGGAAAGGGGGUCAAGGCUGUUCUGUUCAGGACUGAGAUACUGAUUGGCUCUGGAAAAUGUGUUUUAGGGUAGCCAGUAGGUUGAAGAUUAUGUCUUGGCCUUAGAAGUGCCAAUCCAAGUCCAGAAUGUUCACACAAACUGGUAAAAAUCUGUUUCCUAGAUGCCAUAAGGAGGCCCCAGUGCUGGUUCCAGAGACCUUAAGGACAGGUGUCCUGGAGGGUUCUUAGCCACUAUGAAGACUGUAGAGAUAUUCCCAGAGUAAGAGAGGUGUUACAUCUAGAAGAGGGCAGUGGACAGCUGUAUGUCCACAUAGGAAAACAUGUCCUGAGAUGGGAUACACAAAGGGUACACAUACAGAGUCAGGAUAACAUUCAAUAUUCACUUGGCAAUGACAAUUGUCCAUGGGAGAAGAUGACUUGUGUGGUUUUAGGGAAUAGUGAUGGGAUAGAUUAGGCCUGGUUGUAGUGAUGGGGUGUGGAGAAGAGCAUCACCAGGUCCCUUAGGGAUAGUUUCCAAGACUUCUGGGAAGUGAGGUGGCAGAACAAGAGCAUCACUGCACACUUGAGAGUUGAACAUGAUGGGCAUGGAUAAUUGGAAGAGAACUGAAGAGGGCGGAGAAAACAGGGACUCUGGAUUCUGCAAGUCAUAGUGAUUUCCUCAGCAUUCUCUGACAAUAGGAUGCCAGCAAAGUCACCCAAAACUCAAUCAGAUUGUGAGUGACAAAUUCAGCACCAAAAUACAUUUUCACUGUGAACUGCUAUCUGGGACAGUUAAUACAAGACUAUUCAGGGAUCUCUGUUUAUACAGACAAUGAGCCAUUUGACUUUUCCCUAUUGUCUCUGUAUACAGCUUUGACUUUCACGUGGGUCUGCCAGUCUUCUUACAUAUCUUCCAUUAUUAGCUGAUGAGCACCUGUUCAAUUUCUAUUUUUUUUGGUCCCUCUAUCCAUGAUUUCAUAGUCAUAUAUCUUUGUGGAUGGCCCCUAAUACUCCCUGACAUUUACAUCCUUGUAUAGUCCCCUCCUACACUGAUUCUUUGCUUCUUUAAAAACAAAAUUCAGUGGAAGUGAUAAUAUGUGACUUCAAAGCUAGGUCAUAAAGUCAUUGUGGCUUCCAACUUACUCCUUCUUAGAUUGCUUGUUCUGGGGGAAGCCAGAGCAUUCAAGAAUUCCUGUAAAGAAGCCCACAUAAAGAAGGAUCGAGGCUUCUAACCAUUACCCAAAACCCAACCAUUACACCAACACCACGCAAGGAAGCCACCUGAGAAGUGGAUUCCAAGCCUACAGACGGCUACAUCCCUGGCCAAUAUCUGAUUGCAGCCUUGCAAGAGAUCUUGAACCAGAGCCAUCCAGCUGCUCCUGAAUUUCUGACCCCUAGAAAGAGAGAUAAUGGUGAUCAUUGUUUUAAACCACUAAGUUUUGGAAUUACUUAUUAUGUAGCAAUAGUUAACUAAUAGGAAAGAGGACAAGAGCACAGAGGGGAAGGGCAAAGUGAAUCGCUCCAAGGCAGUGUGACUGAGACUUGAUUGAUGAACUGGAAACAUGUGGUUGGCCAUAUUUCAGUAUUGCUAUGGACCAGUGACUCCUGUGCACCUCCCAUUUUCCCAUGUUGGUCGAAAACUCGUUGUCCUAUGUCUCUCCCACCAACAUAUGUUGGGUGAGUUGGAGCAGAAAACUGGUCUUUUCAGUUCAGAGGUGUUCAACUCAACAGAAGCUGUACAUGAGCAGCUGAACUCAAGGAACCACACCUGCAACACUUCAUCCACAUCUAGAUCCAAGUAAAAUGGAUGGUGAACCUGAGUCUGGUGCUGUAAUAAAUGAAACCUGUGGAGGAGCUUGGGAAGGUCUGAGUGUAUUUUGCAUAUGGAAGGAAUGUAGAUAAUUUGUGGCCAGUGGACAGAUGGUAGUAGUUUUAAAACAUAUUCACAAAUUCUUUGAAUCCUCCCACAAAAAGUGGAGUUUAAUUCCCUACCCUUUGAAUAUAAAUCAGUUUUAGAUACCUGCUUCUAAUUAGUAGAAUGCAGUCGAAGUGAUGUUACAUGACUUAGAAAGCUAGGUUAGAAAAGAUGAUAAAGUUCCCAUCCUGGCUCUCAGUCUGUACUUUUGCCCUUGGAGCUUUUGAAACCCAGUCAUCAUGUUGUGAGGCAGCCCAGGCCACAUAGGGAAACCACAUGUAAGUUUUCUGGCUAAUAGCCCCAGCUGAGGUUCGAGCAACACCUUCCAGACAUGUGAGUGAGAGCGCUUUCAGAUGAUUCCAGCCUUUUGUGCUCACAGCUGAUGCCAGCUGGAGCAGAAACUAAAUUAUCCCCACCAAGCCCUGCUCAAAUUGUAGAUUUAUAAGCAAAGUAAAUGUUGUCAUUGUUUUAAAACACUAAGUUUAGGAGUCAUUUGUUAGGCAGCCACAGUAACUGUGACAAGAUCCUCUGUCUUUUCUUUCUUGGCUCCCCCAAUUUUUUUCAUCUUGGAGAGAAACCUGAGACACAUUCUGGGGCCCCUUUUCAUUAUUUUCUCCUUUGAGGUAGGGAAACAUUAGUUUCACCCAGUGAAAAAAGAAAAUGUAAAGACAUUGUCCAUUUGAGAAGGACAUGCCCAUAUUAAAUCAACUUUCAUUCUCUGUGUCAAGGGUGUAUUGUGAGAAAUUCUCCCUCAGUGUCCCAGCUCUCAUAUAACUAUGGUAACACAGCAACUGUCUCAAAGUGGCAAAUACCUUAGUGAGGUAAUCCAGUUUAUAUUUAUAACCUCAGGGAUAUUUCUCAAUAAGAGUAUGUAUUCCCAAAUGCACCAAGUACUUGAUAAAGAAUUGGACAGCAAUAGCCUUUCCUACCAUUUUUAAUAAACCUACAUAAUUCUCUAGCCAGGGGUCAUAUGUUAAUUCACCCUGUCUCUUAUCAUGCAACUUCACUCAAUAAAACUGUCAUCCCUUCUUCAUGAAAAAGAAUAUCCUAAGCUUUUAAAGGCCCCUUUGCAUGUUGAUGAUAGCACUCAUGUAGGGAGCUAGAUCUCAUAUGUAAUCUGGUACCUCUUUCCAGUGAUGGCCUCCUUUAGUCCCCUGUAUAAUGUGCUAUAUGAAAUUAGUUUCAAACUGCCUCCAUAGCUGCAAUACCAGCCAUUCUUCUUUCCCUUCUGGAAUAACUUCCCCUGUCUCUGAAGUGGCCAUGUGUCUUGUCCUGUUGGCAACACUGGAGGUAGUGGUAGGGGUCUUUCCCUGUGGCAUCUCCAGGAUAAGUCAUUGGUUCUACCAGCUGCCCUGGAUGCAGUGAGAGAGUCUUUCCUGUUUUCUCCCUUCUCCCUUCUCCCAAGGGCUCAAAAAUACUUACAAAUGCAGAGUAACCAGGGCAUCAAUUCAUGAACCAUGUUAUCUACCCUCAUAGCCCUCUCAUAGCACUUCCACCUUCUGCCAUGUCCCUCAGGAACCAUCCUGUCACCAACCAUCCAACCUCAGCCAAGUGACCUUACCACUGCUCCCAUGGGGAUGUCUUAUAGCCCUUUCCAGUUAGCCUCUUUCCAUAAUUUAAAAAAACCAUAAUACCAAAUCAACUGGCACUGGCAGGGACCCCAUAGUAGAUCCCAAACAUCAGGUAGGGUACAUGGUAACCCACACCAUAAUGCAUUCAUAAUGGAAACAGUGAUAGUAUUUAUUGAGAAUAAAUUUAUGAGCAUAGAAGAAGUAGAGUGCACAGAAGUAAGCUGUAUUUGAGUCAAUGGUAGUGCAAGUGCUGAGAAAAGUGCCCCAGUAGAGGAAACUGGACCUGCACUGCUUUAUUUAUUGGCUGAGCUGGGAGAGGUAGGGGAGACCCAAUUUUCCAUAUAACAAAGUGGUUUACUGUUAGGAGCCUCGAGCUCAGCUAUGGAGUAUCCAUACCAAUGCUACUGAUAUGAGCUAGAGGCCUUGCUGAGGGAUGGGAAAAAAGACGGGGUCUGCAUGACACUGGGAACCAAAGGUUAGUUUCUACUUACAGGCAGGGAUGGGACUCUUGAAGCGCUUACACUGCUUUUGUUGGGACUGGAUGAACGGGGGCAAAGAACCACUCAAAGCACAAGCCCGGUGAGAAUUUUGUUUACAUGGUUUAAGUUGCCCUAUCAAGACAAUCGGGACAUCUCCCAAGAGCUCUCAAACUACUUUGAAGAGUCCUCUUAUCCCUGCCUACCUCUCCCUGUCCUAAACCCCUCUGUGUUUCAGUUUGGGUCAUUCCUAUGGACCUAUCUUUAAGUUUACUGAUUCCUUUCUUGCCUGUGUUGAAUCUACUGAUGAAGCUAAAGGGCAUUUUAGAUAUCUUAUGUAUUUUUCAUGUCUAGCAUUUCCAUUUAACUCUUAUAGUUUCCAUCUCUCUGCUGAAAUUAACCAUCUGAUCAUGCAUGUUGUCCAUCUUUUCCACUAGAUCAUUUAAGAUAUUAAUCAUGGUUAAGUUCCCUAUCUAAUAUUUCCCACAGUUGCCAUCUCUGAACCUACUGGUGAUUGAUUUGUCUCUUGACAAUGUGGGUUUUUUCCUUUUUUAUGACACGUAAUUUUUGUUGAAAGUCAGAUAACUUGUACAGGAAAGUAGAGACUGAUGUAACUAAUUCUUAUGUCUGGAAAAUUAGCACAACUUUCCUUCUGCUGGGCAUUUACCAGUUGGGCACUGGAGCCAAUCUAGUCACCAAUUAAGCUAACAUGCCGUGAUCUGUAGGUCUGUCCCCAGCACAUAUUCCCACCCCUCCUCAUCAGUAAUGGUUUUGUUCUGUUUUCUUUCCUUGGCCACAAUGAGUUUUUACCAGUACCUUAAGGGCAACAGAGUUUGCUGCUGUUCCCCAAUGUCUUAAGCCUUUAGUUCAAGAGGGAAAAUAGAGAAGGAUCCAAAAGAGGAAUUCAUAUCCUUUCCCUUGGUGAUUACUAUUCCCUUAUGAGAUGCUUUGUUAAAACUCUUGCCCUACCUCUACCUCUUUUGUGAGCACCCAGUCAGGUAUGUGGGUAUAGCCUGCAGGUGGGUGCAAAUUCCCUUUAGGUCUUUGUCUCACAGGGGUUCUCUCUCUAGCCCAUAUUUGGUCUUUUGUAAUUGGUUAAAAAUAUUAGCUGAAUUCUUCUUACUGGUGUCUGGAAAUGUCUACCCUAGUUAAGAAGCCCUCAGGCCCCACCUCUCCUUAAAGGAACCUCUAUUUCCUUAGAUUUUCUUGCCCUGAAACUUCAGCUUUCUGUUGGGUUCAAGAUGAGUUUUAAAUUUGGCAACCAUCUGGCAUUUUGUUGGUCUUGUUGUCAUGGUUAAAAUGAUGCUUUCUACAAUUUUCUACAUCCUAACAGGAAACCAGAAGAUCCUCUCAUUCACUUUAAAUGAAUCAACACAACUACAGAAUCCUCCCCAGUAAAAACAAACCUUGAGAGUCACCUCAUAAGUCUUUAAUGAUAUAUCCUGCCUUGUAUUAUUAAUUACAUAAAGACAUAAUAUUCUUACUUAUGGUCAAAAGUAUUUAAAGUCUAUUUCUUGGCCCUUCAUUUGUGGCUGAAUCAGUUAUCUGCUGUGAUUUCUUCAAGGUGAAUUUUCCCAGAAGUAUCCAAUGCAGUGUUAUUUUUAGCUUGCACCAUUCCUGUCUAGUUAAUUGUUUAUUCUUCUUUCUUCUCAGUUAAUUGCUUAAAAAAUCUCCUAAAUUUUGCAUUUUCUUAAUCUACAACAUUUUAUAGCAUUCCUAUACAGGAAUCUGAUCGUAAAAUUUAGGUAACUUGGCAUGUAUAGAAGCGUAAUAUCUGAGGUGUCAAGAAGUCUACAGUGACUGGAAGCUUUGACUUUACCUCAUUCUACCAAUAAAAUGAAAUGACACGCUUUCCAUUCCAUUUUGUUCACUAUGGGGUAUGAAUUAUAUGGUGAUGGAGAUAUUUAGAAGAUAUUGGAUAAGAUAUUUUAAUACUGUAACCUAUAAUAAUUUGUGAAAUUUCUCUCUGAGUCAGGUUUGAGUGGAACACAUACUUUGGUGAUGUUGAUGGACAUUAUGUGAUCAAUAAAAUCCUAAGACUCUACAAGCAGAAAUUAUCUUUGCUACUAAGAGAUCAUAGCUACCUAGGGAGUGGAGAUCUUUGUAUCAUAUAAUCCCGAGGAAAACUAGAUCCUUGACAUUUCUCCUUUAGACACAAUUAUGUCAUGAAACAGUGUGGGUCUCCAGCUGAAGUAGACAUAAAAACCAGAUUUUAUGAUACAGUACAAAGGAAAACAUUACUUUAAAACGGUGAUUUUUUUCUCAUUAUAAAAGUAGUACAAUUUAUUUUUUUAAUGUGAAAAAACCAGAAGAUUUAAGAAAGAUUUCAAACAAUAUUUUAAAAAUAGAAUAACAAAGCCUAGUUGGGCAGUCUAAAUGGUUGUAUUUUUUUGUAGUCUCUCACAGAUAUAUCCACAUAUAAAUAAUCCUAACUUUAAAAUUAUUCAUAUAUACAUAGUUAUGUAUAUAUUAUCAGUGUCCUACUAUAUACAGUUUUCUACUCUGCCUUUUUUUUAGUUAUCAUUGCAUUGGAAGUAUUUUCCCACGUCAUCAAAAAUGCUUCAUAAAUAUUUUUAAUGGCUGAAUAAUAUUCUGUUUCAUAGUUGUGCAAUAAUUGAAUAUAAGCCUCUUGUGUAUUAAGAUUGUUUCCACUGUUUCAGACUUGAAAAUAAUGCCAUGAUGAACUUCUCUACAUAUAAAUCUGUCUUCAUUUUUGAUUACUUCCUUAGGAUCCAUUCAUAGAAGUAAAAUUACUGAUUCAAAGAAGAUGAAAUUUUUUAUAGCUCAUGACAGGAUAUUUACAAAUCAUGUUCUGGAGAGGUUUAACAAAUUAUAUUGCCACCAGUAGUUUAUGAGAAUAUAUGUCUUACUGAAUCCUCACAAAUAUUGAGUACCAUUAUUUAAAAAAGUCUGUGACAGUGGUGAAUCCUGAAGAACAGUAUUUCCUCGAUAUUUUACUUUUUAUUUCUUCUCUUAAUACUGGGGCCAAACAUUUUCCUACGAGUUUAUGUGCCAUUUGCAUUUCAAUUUUUAUAAAAUGCUUGACAAUGUAUUUUCUUCUUUCUACUUUUUCAUAAUGUUUGGUUUUCCAAUGUGACUGUGCCAUUUUGCAUUACCAACAGCAAUGUAUGAGAGCUCCCAUUGUUUUACAUCCUCUGACUGUGCUUAAUAUUUUAAGUUCUUUAAAAAAAUUAUUUUUGACAUUAUAAAAGGUGUAUAGUGGUAUUUCAUUGUGGUUUUAAUUUGCGUUUCCCUAGUGACUAAUGAUACUGAGUAUUUUUUUGGUGUUUAUUUCCUAUCUGUAUCUUCUUUGUUGAGGUGGCUGUUGAAAUCUUUUGUCCCUUUUUAUUGGGUUGGUUUUUGCUUAUUAUUGAGUUUUGAGAGUUAUGUUAUUUAUUCUGGAUACAUGUCCUUCUUAGAUAUGUGACUUGAAAACAUUUUCUGCCAGUUUGUGGCUUGUGUUUUCAUUCUCUCAACAGUGUGUUUUGCAGAGUAGAAGUUUUUAUUGUUGGAGAAGUAUGGUUUAUUGUGUUUUUCUUUAAUAGAGCAUACUUUUGGGGUUGUAUCUAAAAACUCUUUGUUACAUCACAGUGCUUAUCUCAUUUAUUUUUGUCUAUAAGUUUUAUAGUUGUAGAUUUUACGUUCAAAUCUAUAAUUUAUUUUGAGUCUAGUUUUUACGUGCUGUGAAGUAUAGGUUGAGUUUUAUUUAUUUAUUUGCAUGUGGACAUCCACUUGUUGCAGAAACAUUUGA
ensembl:lncRNA